CUUUAACUAAUUAAACUUGAAUGCAACAUUUUCAUUUGGUUUUUGUAUCCAUAAAUUAAUUUAAGUGGAGCUAAAUGAAAUGAAAAUCCAAUUCUCAUUUAAAGAUACAAAACUAUUUUGUUCUCAACUAAUUUGGGCCAAAAAACAAUAACUUCAACCAUUGGGCUAUAUUGCAAAACAUAAACUUUUGAGGUCACUUUGUAAAAGCACAAAAGUCCACUACUUCAUGUAAUUACAACUAGAACCCAAAAUUUCAUCAAAUACAAAAACUUCAUUAAAGGAGCAAAACAUUUUGUCCUUUAGUGAUUUUGGGCCUUUACGUAAAUACGGAAACUUUUUGGUCAAAGUACAAAUACACAAAAGUAUCAAAACUUUACGUAAUUGCAUAAAAGCCUCAAAAAUACCUUACUUUAUAGGGUGGCCGGUUUGGGUAGUGAAAAAGGGGGAAGUAGGUUUUGGUGAAAAUUCAAAAAUUUAAAGAGUGUUGAAAAAGGUGAAAGGGAUGGGUUGGAAAAGUUGAUUGGUAUGGGUGUUGAUUAAAAAAUGACAAAUCAUGUCAUACCAUUUAUUACAAUAAAGUCACACCAACCUUCAUAAACAAAACUUUAUGCAAAACAUCAAACACUUUGAAUCAAAACACCAAACCUUUUUGUUCUAGGUAAGAACUUCAAGAACUUUGAAGAACACACAUGAAAACUCAUAAAAGCUCCAUGAAUGUUUUCACUCAAUAAAAAUCAAAUUUUCACUACACAAAAGAGGGUUAACAUCCUAGGUCACUUAGGGGUUCCAAAGGUCACUUUAAAACUCUUUUAACAAGACAAACAUGAACCCAAAAAUCCACCCGUUGGAUUUGGUCGAAUUUCCCAAACAACAUGGCACCAAAUUUUAGCUCCAAAAUUCAUGUUCAUCUGAAACUACAUCUACAACAUUUGAGAUGGCAAAUUUUCUAACAAAAUUUACAUUCAAAGAAGCAAGAAUAAAGCUUGUACCAAUUACAACAUUCAAAUCAUAAACAAUGAAAAUACAAAACCCAAAAGGAUUCACCAACUACUAGACCUAGGCUCUGAUACCACUUGAAGGAAAUUUUGUGAAAAACAUGUUCAUUUGAGCAACAUCUAUAGCAUGCAAUUAACAUUUAAAGGCGGAAUCAUGCUUGUAUGCACUCAAAAACAAAACAUUACCCAUGAAAUUCAAAGCCUAGUAGUUAUGUGAACCAAGACUCAACUCAAGAACAAAGUGAGUUGAGAAAUUUUAUACCUUUGUUGAUUCCUCUUUGCAUAAGCAAAGGCUAAUCGCCCAAGGAGAGGUCCUUCAUUCCUUAUUUCUUAGCUCCAUGGAUUUCUUGGAUGAGGAUGGUUGAAAGGAUUCUCCAAGUUCCAAAAGUUGAGAACCUUUAAGUCUCCACACCAAAGUAGGACUUGAAGAAGAGAUGAGUGACCUAGAGGAAGUAAGAUUGCUAGCUAAAAUCCUCUAGGGUGGCCGGCCUCUUAGAGAGAAAAGGGAGCUUGUGUUCUAAUCUUUUUCUCCAAAAGAAAACCCUAAGGAUGAAAUGGCUAUAAAGUUGCCUCUAUAUCACCUCAUAAUGGAGUGGCAAACUUGCAAUUAAGCCAAGUUCACUACCCCUCUCUAUAUGGCCGACCAUUAAGGGUUCAUUGGGCUUUCAAGCCCUUUGUGGUUUCAAGUUGUCAUACAACUUGAGUUAAUAGGCUGGACAUUCAAAUCCCAUUGGGCCUUGCGGCCCAAAACUAACCCGAGGUCUAUAACGAACUUAUUCAUUUGAUUAAUUAACAUAUUAAUUAAUCCAAGCCAUAAAUAAUUAAACCAUUUAAUUAUCCUUACUCAUCUCUGUUGUUUCUUCAAUCUCUACCUUACACGGUGUACGAUCCAUUAGGUUCCUUUUAGCGAGGCAGUGGGCGAUUCGAACUCUUUCAAAUCGAUUGUGAAUUGAAACUUACUUUCAAUUCUCCCUUUAGUGAUUAUAUACGUUUAGGGCUUCCACAAACCAUGAGUGACCCCUAGUAGUAUGUCAUGGUUACCCAAGCUAAUCAGAAGAGGUGGAGAACCUAUUCAGUUUAGGAUUACAAUGCAAUACAGUCUUUCUCUAAUUUUGAUAAUUUAUUCAUGUCUACUAUCCAAUGUGAUUCAUUUACUUAUAUGAUUACCUUGAAUGUGAUUUGGAACGACUUCCUAAAUCUCAUUCAUACUCUGACCAGAGAUUCUUAAUCAUAUCAUAGAGUAUUCUCCCUCAAACAAUUUGAAGGUUAGAGAUCCCUUGUUGCGCAUUCAUUUGCCUCCAUGGCUAAGUGGCUUAACCCUAACUAUGUCGUGGACACCCUCGGAUGGAGUGACUUUGAUAUAGUCAAAAGAUCAAGGACCUAACCACAAGACAACUAUGAUGCCUCAGGUCAAAUGACUACUUUGCAUUAUCCCAACCAUGAGUUCUCAUGUGACAUGAGUAUGAGAACUCCUUGUUGAUCGUGUUCAGUGAACUCAUUCUCUAUUGAGAACCUACGUACUUGUCUUGGUGUCAGUCACACCAAUGACUCAAGACCAGUCACUCUCCCUAAGAAAAGACAUAACACGUACUGAUCUUAACGGACUGUCAAUGCCUAAUUGACAAUCCUAUGAUCAGGAACGUUUAGGAUAUGUAUACGAAAGAGAAUGGUCUCAUGAAUCUAACUUCUUUUGAUCGCAUUCUCCCAAUUACAUAUUACUUGGACUUAUCGUUUAAGCGUAUAACAUUUAUAUGAGACGGCUUCAAACAAUAAUCUUUGCCCUUUAAAUUAAACUAUAUUAGUUUAGCAUGUGAAAUGUCCGUAAAGUAUCAUCAUAUGAUUGGUUUUAGGACAAAUUUCCAACAGAGAUUGCAUACGCCAAAAAUUGCAAAAAACAAACAUUCAGAGAUCAAGUAACGGGACAAAAGUUUUCGACGGUUAUCAAGGAAAAAUCACAAUUUAACGAUUAUUUUAACUCUGAUUUUGAUGAUUUUUUACAACUACACUCCUUGACCCUAUAUGAAUACAAUGAAUGAAUUCGAUCUUCAAUUUAAAAUAUUUACAAUAGUGGAUACCACAAAAUAUUAUGUUAUACUUAAUGAAAGUAUAAAUAAACUCUUAUUGUUAGUGAAUCUAUCGUUUUGAUGGGAUACGCAUUCUAUAAAACUAAUUUCAGCGAUCCAACCGUUAAACUUGUUUGUAUAUGCUUCAAGAUUGCACACGCCAAAAAUCGUAAAAAACAAACAUUUGGAGAUCAAGUAACAAGACAAAAAAUUUCGACGGUUAUCAACGAAAAUCACGAUUUAACGGUUAUUUUAACUCCGAUUUUAAUGAUUUUUUACAGCUACACUCCUUGAUCCUAUUUGAAUACAAUGAAUGAAUUCAAUCUUCAAUUUAAAAUAUUUACACUAGUGGAUACCACAAAAUCUUAUGUUAUGACGAUCAAUGAAAAUUGAGGAUUUUGUAAAAGGAAUAACAUGCAAGCUUUGAGUUCCAUUGAAAAGGUUUAAACUUUGGGAAACUUUGGAUGCGGUCCCUAGUUAUGAAUAAUCUUUGACUGAAACUUUGUUG
rnacentral:lncRNA from 1 species